rnacentral:rRNA from 1 species
CUCGUAGGCGGUUCGUCGCGUCCGGUGUGAAAGUCCAUCGCUUAACGGUGGAUCCGCGCCGGGUACGGGCGGGCUUGAGUGCGGUAGGGGAGGACUGGAAUUCCCGGUGUAACGGUGGAAUGUGUAGAUAUCGGGAAGAACACCAAUGGCGAAGGCAGGUCUCUGGGCCGUUACUGACGCUGAGGAGCGAAAGCGUGGGGAGCGAACA